UGGGGACGGUGGAAGGAGACCCGCCCCGAGGGGUGUGCGUCCAGCUGUGCUGAGUGGACGUUACAGGGCCCUCAGCCAUGUUUACGAUGACUUCUGUCUCCCAGAGGAAAAUACACCUGCUGACAACAGGGCCCCGGGCUGGGGCAGCCCCGCCAUCUGCGACCCCACCUUCUGUAGUCCCCGCGCUUUCUUCAUGAGCAGCUGAAGCGAAGGCAGGCCAAGCACCUGAGGUCACGGAGCUAAAGACACCGCUUCUGGAUGUCAACACAAGGCCAGACAAUCGUCACUAGAGACAGCCAUAAGCCAAUGCUGGGGACGCUGAGGGUAGAAGGCCAGCCCCUCCUAGGCCGUGAGGACUGGCACGGCUGGGCCAUCUGGCGGCAUGGAUCAUUGAAGGCCCAGAAAAGCAGUCGCUGCCACCCCCACAGGCACAGGUCCUGACGCCCCAGCCCACUGUGGCUCUUCCCGAGCGCAGGGUGGGGAGAGGGCCGCUCCUGGACUGCACGCCCGUGAGGGCAGGGGACCCAGCAGCGCCUUGCGAGCCGAGUGUGCAGGGUGGGGAGCACCCAGGCCAGGGCGGACGAGCAGACGCCAGGGCCCCCCCCCGGCGCCUACCGAGGAAGAUGAGCAGCACGCCCACGCCAAUCUGCAGCGCCAGGGAGAUGGAGAUGAGGACCACCAGGGGCACGUAGAAGGCGAAGCUGGGGCCCUGCUCCACGACAGCCUUCAGCUGGGACGCGUUGGCCAUCAGCAGGGCGAUGUCCAGCAUGCUCUCGGCCGCGCUCUUCUUGCUGGCAUAAUGGUUCAGGUUGAUGGGCUGCUGCCUCCGGCCCCAGCGGGACGGCUGCAGGGAGGGGGACGGUCAGCGGGGCAGUGGGGUGGGGGUCGCCCUUCACGCGAGGGCUUCUCUUGCCCCCGCCUUGGUAAGUGCGUGUUACUCUAAUGACAGCCCUUGAGAAUGCGCUUGGCCUCUACAAAACCUUCCCUAGGAAUACAGGCCUGGAGAGAAAGGAAACAUAGAACAGCAGCCUCAGCACAAACUCUGGUUUUUGACUGGAAAUGCCCGCCACACAAUCCCUGCCCUCCUGCUGUGGGUGAGGCGGCUCCGCCCUGCCCGCCCAGGCCCGCCUGUGCCCCAGGCCUCCCCUCCCCUCGGGAUCUGGGCUCGGUCGGUGCCAGGCAGGGAAGUGACGUGUAGGCAGGCGGAUCCAUGCAAGCUGGCCCAGGCGUGAAACAAGGGCCGAGACCCCCUCUGCCGCCUCCCAACCCCCUAGCCUUGGGACCCCGCAGGCCACUCCGUCCCCCGAGCCUCAGCAUGGGCCCUGAGAAAGGUCUGCCCACCUCACCAGGCCACUGUAAGCAGCAAGGCACCGGCUGAGGUGGGGCACUCAGAGCCCACCAGCCCGCUGCAUGCAGCAGGCGUUCAAUAAAUGUCUCAGCAUAUCAUGUACA